rnacentral:rRNA from 1 species
AUAUUGAAACGGACCAUUAAUUCAUUAGUGGUUAGUGGCGAAAGGGUUAGUAACAGGUGGGUAACGUACCCCGUGCUUUGGGAUAGCGUCAGUAGCUUCGGCUACUUUCCGAAAGGGACGAUAAUACCAAAUAAUAUUAAAAAUCGAUGGGCUUUUAAUCAAAGAUUUAUCGGCACAGGAGCGGCCUGCCUCCUAUCAGCUUGUUGGUGAGGUAAAGGCUUACCAAGGCUUUGACGGGUAGCGGGACUGAGAGGUUGAUCCGCAACAUCGGGACUGAGACACUGCCCGGACCUCCACGGAGGGCUGCAGUAACGAAUAUUGUGCAAUGGGCGAAAGCCUGACACAGCGACGCCGCGUGUAGGAGGAAGUCCCUCGGGAUGUAAACUACUGUCAGGGGUAAGAAAGUGCGUUUCGGCGCAUUGAUCCACCCCGGAGGAAGUCACGGCUAACUUCGUGCCAGCAGCCGCGGUAAGACGAAGGUGGCAAGCGUUAUUCGGUAUCACUGGGCUUAAAGCGUGUGUAGGCGGAAAAGUAGCACUUUGUGAAAUCCCUCGGCUUAACCGAGGAAUUGCGUAGUGAACUGCUUUUCUUGAGGCAAGUAGGGGUGCAUGGAACUCUUGGUGGAGCGGUGGAAUGCGUAGAUAUCAAGAGGAACGCCAGUGGAGAAAUCGGUGCACUGGGCUUGUCCUGACGCUGAGACACGAAAGCGUGGGUAGCGAACGGGAUUAGAUACCCCGGUAGUCCACGCCGUAAACGAUGUCUACUAGGUUGUGAAAGUUCUGACACUGGCGCAGCCGAAGCAAAAGUGCUAAGUAGACCGCCUGGGGAGUACGGUCGCAAGGCUAAAACUCAAAGGAAUUGACGGGGGCUCACACAAGCGGUGGAGCAUGUGGAUUAAUUCGAAGCAACGCGCAGAACCUUACCUGGGUUUGACAUGCUUGGAUGCCUUUCCUGAAAGGGAUAAGGCUGCCCUUCGGGGUGAAACUUGCACAGGUGCUGCAUGGCUGUCGUCAGCUCGUGUCGUGAGAUGUCGGGUUAAGUCCUUUAACGAGCGAAACCCUUACCAUUAGUUGCCAGCGGGUCAUGCCGGGGACUCUAGUGGGACUGCCGGUGUUAAACCGGAGGAAGGCGGGGACGACGUCAAGUCAUCAUGGCCUUUAUGCCCAGGGCCUCACACGUGCUACAAUGGCUCGGACAAAGCGACGCAAGACCGCGAGGUGGAGCAAAUCGCAAAAACCGGGCCUCAGUUCGGAUUGCAGGCUGGCAACUCGCCUGCAUGAAGUUGGAAUCGCUAGUAAUCGCGUGUCAGCUAUAACGCGGUGAAUGUGUUCCUGAGCCUUGUACACACCGCCCGUCAAGUCAUGGGAGUCUGGAGUACCCGAAACCGGGUUGUCAACCUUUUAGGAGACGCCUGUCUACGGUAAGCCAGAUGACUGGGACUAAG